AACGAACGCUAGCGGCAGGCUUAACACAUGCAAGUCGAACGGUUGUAGCAAUACAGCAGUGGCAGACGGGUGAGUAACACGUGGGAACCUUCCUAGGGGUACGGAACAACUCAGGGAACUUGAGCUAAUACCGUAUACGUCCGUGAGGAGAAAGAUUUAUCACCCUUAGACGGGCCCGCGUCGGAUUAGCUAGUUGGUGGGUAACGGCCUACCAAGGCGACGAUCCGUAGCUGAUCUUAGAGGAUGAUCAGCCACACUGGGACUGAGACACGGCCCAGACUCCUACGGGAGGCAGCAGUGGGGAAUCUUGGACAAUGGGCGCAAGCCUGAUCCAGCCAUGCCGCGUGAGUGAAGAAGGUCUUCGGAUUGUAAAGCUCUUUGCCAGGGACGAUAAUGACGGUACCUGGAGAGUAAGCCCCGGCAAACUUCGUGCCAGCAGCCGCGGU
rnacentral:rRNA from 1 species